GAGCUUCCUUCGGAGUUAUCCUCCUCCCAAUUCCGAAGGAAACGACCGGCAACCUCCUCCUCCCAAUUGCCGGUCAUCCCAAAACGACACCCGCCGAACCUCCUCCCUCGGCGGGUGUUGUUU
rnacentral:sRNA from 1 species